rnacentral:rRNA from 1 species
GAGUAAUGUCUGGGAAACUGCCUGAUGGAGGGGGAUAACUACUGGAAACGGUAGCUAAUACCGCAUAACGUCGCAAGACCAAAGUGGGGGACCUUCGGGCCUCAUGCCAUCAGAUGUGCCCAGAUGGGAUUAGCUAGUAGGUGGGGUAACGGCUCACCUAGGCGACGAUCCCUAGCUGGUCUGAGAGGAUGACCAGCCACACUGGAACUGAGACACGGUCCAGACUCCUACGGGAGGCAGCAGUGGGGAAUAUUGCACAAUGGGCGCAAGCCUGAUGCAGCCAUGCCGCGUGUGUGAAGAAGGCCUUCGGGUUGUAAAGCACUUUCAGCGGGGAGGAAGGCGGUGAGGUUAAUAACCUCACCGAUUGACGUUACCCGCAGAAGAAGCACCGGCUAACUCCGUGCCAGCAGCCGCGGUAAUACGGAGGGUGCAAGCGUUAAUCGGAAUUACUGGGCGUAAAGCGCACGCAGGCGGUCUGUCAAGUCGGAUGUGAAAUCCCCGGGCUCAAC